rnacentral:tRNA from 1 species
CGGGGCGUGGCGCAGCCUGGAUAGCGCGCCUGCUUUGGGAGCAGGAAGUCGCCAGUUCAAAUCUGGCCGCCCCGA